AGAGUUUGAUCAUGGCUCAGGAUAAACGCUGGCGGCGUGCCUAACACAUGCAAGUCGAACGCGCACGGAGAGAUUCGUGCGAGUGGCGAACGGGUGAGUAACACGUGGGUACCUGCCCUAUGGUGAGGAAUACCGGCGAGAAAUCGCCGACAAUACCGCAUAGGUUUCGAAAGAAACAAAGCUCACGCAAGUGGGCGCCA
rnacentral:rRNA from 1 species